rnacentral:misc_RNA from 1 species
AUAAUUAAAUAUUGGGGGAGAUAUGCCUGAUAUUCUUGGGUAUAUCUCUUCACCAACAACACCUUGUGAAUGUUUCCUGUAUUUUGGCAGUCCACUGAGGAUGAAUAAAUUUUUUAUUCGUCCUUUUAAAGAAAGAAGUCACUUUUUGAUUCGAGAGAGAAGAGGUUUAGUUCUGUUUUCUUCUGAACAAUGUUAUCCGUCUAAACGGCUUUUGCUGGGAUAAUGUUGCAUUUGGGGGGUUUCAGGUUGCUAUGCUUUAAUCUCUUGGACUGGAAAAGUCUUUUUUCGGACUGUCAGCCGUUGAAAAACUCCAAAUAUUUUUAUGCAUCUGACACAAAAAGAGAAACAAUGAGAAA